AUGGCGUCGAGGGACUUCUUGGGCAGGUUCGGCGGGGAGAAGGGGGCGGCGUCGGACAAGGCGGGGGGCGGCGCCGGCGAGGCGGACGAGGUGGUCGAGCUCAGCCUCGGCCUGUCCCUGGGCGGCUGCUUCGGCGCCAACUCCGGCCGGGACGCCAAGAAGCCGCGGCUGGUGCGCUCCUCCUCCCUCGCCGCCAUGUGCUCGCUCCCGGGCACCAGCGACGACCUCGCCGCCGCGACGCCCCCGCCGGCGCCGCUGAUGCGCACCAGCUCGCUCCCCACCGAGACCGAGGAGGAGCGGUGGCGCCGGCGCGAGAUGCAGAGCCUCAAGCGCCUCCAGGCCAAGCGCAAGCGCCUCGAGCGCCGCACCUCCAUGAACUCCGGCAAGUCCGGCGGCAGCAGCAGCCGGGACGACGCCCAGGAGCCGCUCUACCCCAGCGCGUUCCAGCUCCGCCGCUCCGUCGUCGACCAGGGGAACCCCUCCUCAAGCAUGCCCGAGCAAGGUAGCGGUGAUGGCGCUGAGGUGAAGAGCACAUCGAGCAUGGAGAUAUCUUCCGAUAAUAAUAACAAUGCCAGCAACCAGAACAAAUCCCUCCCGCCGCCGGCACCAUCUCCGGCGGCCGGGAAGCUGCCGAACGGCAUCGUCAAGGAGCAACCGCCGUUGCGGACCCUCCGGUCGCUGACGAUGCGCACGACGAGCACCGGCGACCUGCGGAAGAGCAUGAUGGAGGACAUGCCGAUGGUCUCGUCCAAGGUGGACGGCCCCAACGGCAAGAAGAUCGACGGCUUCCUGUACAAGUACAGGAAAGGGGAGGAGGUGAGGAUAGUGUGCGUUUGCCACGGCAACUUCCUCACGCCGGCGGAGUUCGUGAAGCACGCCGGCGGCGGCGACGUCACGAACCCGCUCAGGCACAUCGUCGUCAACCCCUCGCCGUCGGUCUUCUUGUAA
rnacentral:rRNA from 1 species